rnacentral:rRNA from 1 species
UACGAAGGGGGCUAGCGUUGCUCGGAAUCACUGGGCGUAAAGCGCACGUAGGCGGAUUGCUAAGUCAGGGGUGAAAUCCUGGAGCUCAACUCCAGAACUGCCUUUGAUACUGGUGAUCUUGAGUCCGGGAGAGGUGAGUGGAACUGCGAGUGUAGAGGUGAAAUUCGUAGAUAUCGAGAGGAAUACCUGUGGCGAAGGCGGCCAACUGGACGAGUACUGACACUGAGACACGAAAGCGUGGGGAGCAAACAGG